UACGUAGGGUGCAAGCGUUAAUCGGAAUUACUGGGCGUAAAGCGUGCGCAGGCGGUUUUGCAAGACAGAUGUGAAAUCCCCGGGCUUAACCUGGGAACUGCAUUUGUGACUGCAAGGCUAGAGUGUGUCAGAGGGAGGUGGAAUUCCGCGUGUAGCAGUGAAAUGCGCAGAGAUGCGGAGGAACACCGAUGGCGAAGGCAGCCUCCUGGGAUAACACUGACGCUCAUGCACGAAAGCGUGGGGAGCAAACAGG
rnacentral:rRNA from 1 species